GCACCGCUGAAGAGUCCUAUAAUAGGACGAAACGGCCGUCCAGUGC
rnacentral:hammerhead_ribozyme from 1 species